UUGUGCUAGAUGGGGAACUAGCGGUGCCCUGUAUCUGCAAUCCGCUACAGCAGAGUUGAAGGCUCUCUUCGGUUAUGUACGUAAGGGUUUGAGUUAAGUCGGAUUCGUUGAGAAUUAAACUCUAUGCAUUAAGAGAUCUAUAAACUCCGCCAGGAUCGGAAGAUAGCAACGGUAAGUAGAUGUUUUUAAGUGAUGUAGAAUAAUUUAAUUUGAGUUGAUGACUUAUCUAUCACUUUGGGUAUAUUUAUCAACGGGAGAAGCACAA
rnacentral:SRP_RNA from 1 species